rnacentral:lncRNA from 1 species
GGCUCCGGUCACGGCUACCCGGACUCCGUCGACUCCUCUCCCCGUUCCCGCGGCGGCGACUCGUGGGACGAGCCAUUCACUUCUUCAGCUGCGGCCUCGUCGCGCCUCCGCGUGAUGUGCAGCUACGGCGGCCGCAUCGUCCCCCGCCCCACCGACAACUCCCUCUGCUACCUCGGAGGCGAGACCCGCAUGGUCAUCGUCGACCGCCACUCCUCCCUCGCCGACCUGUCCGCCAAGCUCUCCCGCGACCUCCUCGGCGGCCGCCCUUUCUCCCUCAAGUACCAGCUCCCCAACGAGGACCUCGACUCCCUCAUCUCGGUCACCACCGACGAGGACCUCGAGAACAUGAUCGAAGAGCUCGAUCGCAUCUCUGCUGCCACCGCUGCCCUGGCAUCCUCCAUAGGCGGCGGCUCGGCACGCUCCCCCCGCCUCCGGCUGUUCCUGUUCCCGUCGAUCUCCGAUUCGGCGCCUUCUUCCGCUAUCGGGUCACUCUUGGACGACUCGAAGUCGGAGACUUGGUUCGUGGACGCCCUCAAUAGCGCUAUCGGCGGCAUGGGCGUGGACGCUCU